rnacentral:SRP_RNA from 1 species
UUGCUCUGUAACCUUCGGGGGCUUCCUAGGUGGAGCGGGGGUGUCGUGGACCAGCGAGGGUGGCGCGCUGCGUUGACGCGGUGCUCUGCUUGGCUGUGUGUCGGUGUGGCCUGCCCCCCUGUAGAGGGGUGUCGUAGGCUACCCGUUGAAGCGAGGGAAACCGGGUCAGGCCGGAAACGGAACAGCCCAUCCUGCGCACGUCCGCCGUUGCAGAAUCACGCCGCGGAGCAUGACC